GAGUGAUAGCAUCCUUAAGCUGCACAUGACUGAAGGGACCAGUACUGCUAGUCACUCCCAGCCCUGCCUUCGGCCCUAUGUGCGGACCUGAAUGAGCUCCAGUGAGAUCUACAUUUACACAGAACCUGUUUCUUCCUCCCAGAACUGGCUCGGCUGUCUUCUUGCACUUAGUUGGCACUCCUUGCUUCAGAGCACAGGGUCGCUCAUGUGCACUGCCCACUACACAAUUCUGCUUAAAUGCAAAUCUCCCUGGAUCUGGAACAGGUCUGCACCCUUUAGCGAACACACAACUGGGAAGGAGUGUGGCUCUCCCUACGCCUUUAGCUCUCCUUUCCAUCAAAGGGAACGUCUGUCACUCACGCCUCUUUAGCCAAUCAAAGCAUCGGGACAUGCAGUUCCCUCAGAAAGCACGGAUAGGAGGCGGGUCUUCCCUGCAGGCGGUGCUCAGUGUUCUGCUUUGCCUCUGAGGGAGAGGUACGCAAUGGACAGGAGUGCAGUGCACUGUGGGCCCGCUGUGCGGAGCCAUGAGGACAGCGCAGAACCCCGCCGUGGUGAAGCUUAUACGAAAGCAAUGUAUUGUGUGGACCCUCUCAGGAAGAUUGUAAAAAGGAAAAAAGAAAAAAAGCUGCUGGACACAUCUUGGUACCACCAGCUCAGAGGACUCCGUGGCGGUUCAGGUUUCCAGGCGGUUGUUCAUCCAAGCAUCUGGAGGUCACCUUCUUCUGUAAACUGAGCAGAGACUGCCCUGCAUCACCUGGGGAAAUGAAGUCCCAGAUGGCACCUGCUCUAAUGCCGCCAACCACAACCCUAUCCUGGAGACCAACAGAAUAAUAAAGUGUAUGAAGAAGACAAGUGUAUAAGAAAAUACAACCUAAGAGGAAGAAUAAGCUGAUGACUUGGGAAAGACAUCAGGACACAAUACUACUAAUCCCAAAACUAUGAUUUUAUACUUACUCACUACACGCUAAUACUUAGCUUGUCAAUGCAAGCUGAGUCAGGAAGUGUGAAAGGCAUCUGUGUAAUAGGAAAUAAUAUAAUGUUGUUUUCAAAUGCUAAGGAGUAGGGCUGGUGAGACGGCUUAGUGAGUAAGAGCACUAACUGCUCUUCUAAAGGUCCUGAGUUCAAAUUGCAAGCAACCACAUGGUGGUUCACAACCACCCAUAACGAGAUCUGAUGCCCUCUUCUGGUGCAUCUGAAGACAGCUACAGUAUACUUAUUUAUAAUAAUAAAUAAUAAUAAUAAUAAAUAAAUCUUUGGGCCUGUGCGAGAAGGGCCAACCUGAGUGAAUGGGGCUGACCAGAGCGAGCAGAGGUCCUAAAUUCAAUUCCCAACAAGCAGAUGAAGGCUCACAACUAUCUGUAUCGCUACAGUGUGUACUCAUAUACAUAAAAUAAAUAAAUAAAUCUUUUUUUUAAAUGC